rnacentral:rRNA from 1 species
UACGUAGGGGGCGAGCGUUGUCCGGAGUUACUGGGCGUAAAGGGCACGUAGGCGGUCUACUAAGUUCUGAGUGACAGUCACCAGCUUAACUGGUGAAGGACGCGCGAAAACUGGCGGACUUGAGAGCGAGAGAGGGACAUGGAAUUCCGGGUGGAGCAGUGAAAUGCGUAGAGAUCCGGAGGAACACCAAAGGCGAAGGCAGUGUCCUGGUUCGUAUCUGACGCUGAGGCGCGAAAGCCAGGGGAGCGAACGGG